CCCACCCCCCAGGACCCCCCCUCUUUGGCUCGCUGCCGGCGCCUCAAACGCCGCCGGGAAGAAGCGGCCGAGCUGGCGGCGCUCGACGUCGCCAACAUCCUCCCCACGCCCGGUCGAACCCGGAGGCGAAACCCGUGGAACCCCCAAACCCCCCCCGGGGAGAAAAUCGGGGGGUCCCCCCCCCCCUCCCCCCCCAGUCGACUGGUCCCGGCUUCGGGGCGUCAUUAGCUCCGACGGCGAGAGCGAGUGACCCCCCCCCCCCCCCC